GUCACUCCAGUAUCAAUAGCGUGAUGAAGUAGCUUCAUCAUUUCAAGCUCGGGCUUGGGCGGGCCAUAGUUACCGGACAUACUCAUACAGCCAGCCCGAUCCUGGAAACUUCUAGUCCUUGUGACCCUAGCUUUAUCCUCGGAUUAUGGGGGAAGCAAUAUAAGGCUGCUGUGAAUCAAGUAUGUGCUUGUCAACAAUGGAAUUCAAUGCUUGCUUUCGCUUAAUUGAGCAUGAGGAUUUGUUUGAAUUUGACAACUGCAGCAAAAGCUCAGAGAGUCUAUUGUAACGUACAUGCUCAUCCUCUUAUAUUGUAACACCAGUACCGAUUGCUAAGUUUGUUUUGAUUGAUCAACUCUUUUUAUCAGAUGAUCUUUUACUGUUGCCUUCUGUA